CAAAGGUCAAUAAGACAAACACGUAAUUAGGACAAAACAAUAAAAGGAGGAAUUGGAGGACACAAAACAAUUGGACAUAAUACAAAGGUCAAUAAGACAAACACGUAAUUAGGACAAAACAAUAAAAGGAGGACUUGGAGGACACAAAACAAUUGGACAAAACACAAAAGUCAAUAAAGACAUACAUAUAAUUAGGACAAAAAAAUAAAAGGAGGAUUUGGAGGAUACAAAACAAUUGGACAUAACACUAAAAAGCCAAAAUGAGAAACACAUAAUCGGGACAGAAAAAUAUAAGGAGGACUUGGAGGACAUAAAACAAUUGGGCAUCACACAAAAAAAUCACAGGGGAGGACAGAACAAGGACAAAGGAAUGUGGGACAGGAUGGUUACAAAGAAAGGAAUAAAAUCAUAAAGUCACGUAAAAACAAAAGGAAAGGACAAAUAGGAAGGGGGUGCCAUAAAAAUAUAUAAAAAAAAAACGUAAGAAAAAUACUGGAAAGGAAACUAAAGAAGGGGGUGCCAUUACAAUAAUAAAAACAAAGAAAGCCAAAGAAAGGACAGGACAAAACAUUAAGAAUAUUAAACAGAAAAAUAAUGAAACGGAAAACCCAAGAGUGGGAGGAGACAGCACACUAUAAAAGCCAAGGGAGGCACACAAAAAACACACACAGACACGUUGGGCCAGCCUGAGGAAGGCCUAUAACCGGCCGAAACGUCGCGACGGCCCAAUGACACAGAAACACAUUAUUAAAACACAAAACAACAAAAAAAUAAUAAUAAUUAUAAUAAUAACCUACUUACGGGUAAUUUUUGGAAACGGGAUAGGGACAUCAUACCAAUCCGUUGGACGAUCACAGCCUCUUGGGGCAUGCUAUGGGGGACCUUGACGCCCGGGACGCCUUCGGGGACCGGACUCCCAACUUGAUUUCCCUCAACCCCAGUGAAAGGAACCCCAAGUAAAACUCAAAAUAACGGCCAAAGACACAAAGAAAUAAACAAAAAUGAAGGCCAGGUGUAUAAUUAGGAAAGGAGGGUAUGUAAGCCAAAGGAAAGGAAGCAGGAAUUAGGAGCAAAAGGAAACAGAAGGCAAAGCAAGGGUAGGAAAGGAGAAAGGAAAGGAAAAGGAUAGGGUUAAGCCAAAGAAAGCAGUGGAAAAAAGGAAAAACGGAAAGUCACAUAUAUCCGGCACUUUGGAUGCUAUGCAGUGGGGAGGAGCCAAAAGCUAUAAAAG
ensembl:lncRNA